GAUGAACGCUGGCGGCGUGCCUAAUACAUGCAAGUCGAGCGAACGGACGAGAAGCUUGCUUCUCUGAUGUUAGCGGCGGACGGGUGAGUAACACGUGGAUAACCUACCUAUAAGACUGGGAUAACUUCGGGAAACCGGAGCUAAUACCGGAUAAUAUUUUGAACCGCAUGGUUCAAAAGUGAAAGACGGUCUUGCUGUCACUUAUAGAUGGAUCCGCGCUGCAUUAGCUAGUUGGUAAGGUAACGGCUUACCAAGGCAACGAUGCAUAGCCGACCUGAGAGGGUGAUCGGCCACACUGGAACUGAGACACGGUCCAGACUCCUACGGGAGGCAGCAGUAGGGAAUCUUCCGCAAUGGGCGAAAGCCUGACGGAGCAACGCCGCGUGAGUGAUGAAGGUCUUCGGUUCGUAAAACUCUGUUAUUAGGGAAGAACAUAUGUGUAAGUAACUGUGCACAUCUUGACGGUACCUAAUCAGAAAGCCACGGCUAACUACGUGCCAGCAGCCGCGGUAAUACGUAGGUGGCAAGCGUUAUCCGGAAUUAUUGGGCGUAAAGCGCGCGUAGGCGGUUUUUUAAGUCUGAUGUGAAAGCCCACGGCUCAACCGUGGAGGGUCAUUGGAAACUGGAAAACUUGAGUGCAGAAGAGGAAAGUGGAAUUCCAUGUGUAGCGGUGAAAUGCGCAGAGAUAUGGAGGAACACCAGUGGCGAAGGCGACUUUCUGGUCUGUAACUGACGCUGAUGUGCGAAAGCGUGGGGAUCAAACAGGAUUAGAUACCCUGGUAGUCCACGCCGUAAACGAUGAGUGCUAAGUGUUAGGGGGUUUCCGCCCCUUAGUGCUGCAGCUAACGCAUUAAGCACUCCGCCUGGGGAGUACGACCGCAAGGUUGAAACUCAAAGGAAUUGACGGGGACCCGCACAAGCGGUGGAGCAUGUGGUUUAAUUCGAAGCAACGCGAAGAACCUUACCAAAUCUUGACAUCCUUUGACAACUCUAGAGAUAGAGCCUUCCCCUUCGGGGGACAAAGUGACAGGUGGUGCAUGGUUGUCGUCAGCUCGUGUCGUGAGAUGUUGGGUUAAGUCCCGCAACGAGCGCAACCCUUAAGCUUAGUUGCCAUCAUUAAGUUGGGCACUCUAAGUUGACUGCCGGUGACAAACCGGAGGAAGGUGGGGAUGACGUCAAAUCAUCAUGCCCCUUAUGAUUUGGGCUACACACGUGCUACAAUGGACAAUACAAAGGGCAGCGAAACCGCGAGGUCAAGCAAAUCCCAUAAAGUUGUUCUCAGUUCGGAUUGUAGUCUGCAACUCGACUACAUGAAGCUGGAAUCGCUAGUAAUCGUAGAUCAGCAUGCUACGGUGAAUACGUUCCCGGGUCU
rnacentral:rRNA from 1 species